AUUGAACGCUGGCGGCAGGCCUAACACAUGCAAGUCGAACGCAGUGGGGACGGGUGAGUAACACGUGGGUAACCUCCCAUCAGAGGGGAUAACACUUGGAAACAGGUGCUAAACCGAUACUGAUGGAUGGACCCGCGGUGCAUUAGCUAGUUGUUGAGGUAACGGCUCACCAAGGCCACGAUGCAUAGCCGACCUGAGAGGGUGAUCGGCCACACUGGGACUGAGACACGGCCCAGACUCCUACGGGAGGCAGCAGUAGGGAAUAUUCGGCAAUGGACGAAAGUCUGACAGAGCAACGCCGCGUGAGUGAAGAAGGUUUUCGGAUUGUAAAACUCUGUUGUUAGAGAAGCGUUACCUAACCAGAAAGCCACGGCUAACUACGUGCCAGCAGCCGCGGUAAUAC
rnacentral:rRNA from 1 species